rnacentral:rRNA from 1 species
GACGAACCGUGCGAACGUUGUUCGGAAUCACUGGGCUUAAAGGGCGCGUAGGCGGGCGGUCAAGUCAGAGGUGAAAUCCCACGGCUCAACCGUGGAAGUGCCCCUGAUACUGACUGUCUCGAGGGAGGUAGGGGCGUGCGGAACUUCCGGUGGAGCGGUGAAAUGCGUAGAUAUCGGAAGGAACACCGAUGGCGAAAGCAGCGCGCUGGACCUCUACUGACGCUGAGGCGCGAAAGCCAGGGAGCAAACGGG